UACGUAGGGUGCGAGCGUUGUCCGGAAUUAUUGGGCGUAAAGAGCUCGUAGGCGGUGCGUCACGUCGGCCGUGAAAACCUGCAGCUUAACUGUGGGCGUGCGGUCGAUACGGGCAUCACUGGAGUUCGGCAGGGGAGACUGGAAUUUACGGUGUAGCGGUGAAAUGCGUAGAUAUCUGGAGGAACACCGGUGGCGAAGGCGGCAUCCUGGACCGGCAUUGACGCUGAGGCGCGAAAGCUAGGGGAGCAAACGGG
rnacentral:rRNA from 1 species